CCGCACGGGUGAGUAACACGUAUCCAACCUGCCGUCUACUCUUGGCCAGCCUUCUGAAGGAAGAUUAAUCCAGGAUGGCAUCAUGAGUUCACAUGUCCGCAUGAUUAAAGUAUUUUCCGGUAGACGAUGGGGAUGCGUUCCAUUAGAUAGUAGGCGGGGUAACGGCCCACCUAGUCAACGAUGGAUAGGGGUUCUGAGAGGAAGGUCCCCCACAUUGGAACUGAGACACGGUCCAA
rnacentral:rRNA from 1 species